ACUGCUCAGUAACACGUGGACAACCUGCCCUUAGGUUGGGUAUAAACCCGGGAAACUGGGUAUAAUACCCGAUAGGUCUCGAUUGCUGGAAUGCAUCGAGAUUUAAAGCUCCGGCGCCUAAGGAUGGGUCUGCGGCCCAUCAGGUAGUAGUGGGUGUAGCGUACCUACUAGCCUACGACGGGUACGGGUUGUGAGAGCAAGAGCCCGGAGAUGGAUUCUGAGACACGAAUCCAGGCCCUACGGGGUGCAGCAGGCGCGAAAACUUUACAAUGCUGGCAACAGCGAUAAGGGAACCUCGAGUGCCAGGUUACAAAUCUGGCUGUCGAGAUGCCUAAAAAGCAUUUCAUAGCAAGGGCCGGGCAAGACCGGUGCCAGCCGCCGCGGUAACACCGGCGGCUCGAGUGGUAACCGUUAUUAUUGGGUCUAAAGGGUCUGUAGCCGGCCGGAUAAGUCUCUUGAGAAAUCUGGCAGCUUAACUGUCAGGCUUUCAGGAGAUACUGUCUGGCUCGAGGCCGGGAGAGGUGAGAGGUACUUCAGGGGUAGGGGUGAAAUCUUGUAAUCCUUGAAGGACCACCAGUGGCGAAGGCGUCUCACCAGAACGGGCCUGACGGCAAGGGACGAAAGCUAGGGGCACGAACCGGAUUAGAUACCCGGGUAGUCCUAGCCGUAAACGAUACUCGCUAGGUGUCGGCCACGGUGCGACCGUUGUCGGUGCCGUAGGGAAGCCGUGAAGCGAGCCACCUGGGGAAGUACGGCCGCAAGGCUGAAACUUAAAGGAAUUGGCGGGGGAGCAC
rnacentral:rRNA from 1 species